CAGUAGCCGCGGUAAUACGUAGGUGGCAAGCGUUGUCCGGAAUUAUUGGGCGUAAAGGGCUCGCAGGCGGUUUCUUAAGUCUGAUGUGAAAGCCCCCGGCUCAACCGGGGAGGGUCAUUGGAAACUGGGAAACUUGAGUGCAGAAGAGGAGAGUGGAAUUCCACGUGUAGCGGUGAAAUGCGUAGAGAUGUGGAGGAACACCAGUGGCGAAGGCGACUCUCUGGUCUGUAACUGACGCUGAGGAGCGAAAGCGUGGGGAGCGAACAGGAUUAGAUACCCCCGUAGUCCCUGUCUCUUAUAU
rnacentral:rRNA from 1 species